UCGGGAAUUUUGGGCAAUGGGCGAAAGCCUGACCCAGCAACGCCGCGUGAGGGAUGAAGUAUUUCGGUAUGUAAACCUCGAAAGAAUGGGAAGAAUAAAUGACGGUACCAUUUAUAAGCACCGGCUAACUACGUGCCAGCAGCCGCGGUAAUACGUAGGAAGCAAGCGUUGUUCGGAUUUACUGGGCGUAAAGGGCGCGUAGGCGGCGCGGUAAGUCACUUGUGAAAUCUCUGAGCUUAACUCAGAACGGCCAAGUGAUACUGCUGUGCUAGAGUGCGAAAGAGGCAACCGGAAUUCUUGGUGUAGCGGUGAAAUGCGUAGAUAUCAAGAGGAACACCUGAGGCGAAGGCGGGUUGCUGGGCCGACACUGACGCUGAUGCGCGAAAGCCAGGGGAGCAAACG
rnacentral:rRNA from 1 species